rnacentral:lncRNA from 1 species
UUUUAAGAAGGUUACAAUACUAUUAUCAAAGACGAAAAACACAAAAAACCUCUAAGGUCUAAUGAGGCUUUAAGCGCAAAUAAAGCGUGAGUUUUAAUGAAAAAAUGCACAAAAGGAGAAAAAUCAAAUAUGUAUGUAUAGUAAAAGACUAAUAAUUAUAAGCAUGAAUAAAAAAAUAUAAAGACAAGAAAUUGAAAAAAGUUAUGAUAAAGUGAAAUAUUAAUUGCUUAGCGUCACUUCUUCGAUUACGUUGUCGCUCGUUGGCAAGGAAAAGAAUGACUUAGAGCCUUGAUGACAAUAGUGAUUUCCCCGCAAAGUGAGGCGAAACGCUCAACAUGUUUUGCACCUCGCUUUAGGCUUAAGCGCGCAUUGACAACACUGGUUAUUUUUUUCUUUUUAUUGAACCGAAAACGAAAUUUAAGGGAGGUAUUCUGUUAUCACCUUUAAAGACAAGAAAUUGAAAAAAGUUAUGAUAAAGUGAAAUAUUAAUUGCUUAGCGUCACUUCUUCGAUUACGUUGUCGCUCGUUGGCAAGGAAAAGAAUGACUUAGAGCCUUGAUGACAAUAGUGAUUUCCCCGCAAAGUGAGGCGAAACGCUCAACAUGUUUUGCACCUCGCUUUAGGCUUA